rnacentral:rRNA from 1 species
UUGUGUCUAUUGCGGUGAUUCAUAAUAACUGAUCGAAUCUCUUUUUGAGAUAAAUCAUUCAAGUUUCUGCCCUAUCAGCUUUCGAUGGUAGUGUAUUGGACUACCAUGGCAGUAACGGGUAACGAAGAAUUAGGGUUCGAUUUCGGAGAGGGAGCAUGAGAAACGGCUACCACAUCUAAGGAAGGCAGCAGGCGCGUAAAUUACCCAAUCCUGACUCAGGGAGGUAGUGACAAGAAAUAGCAAACCGGGAACCUCAUGGUUUCACGGUAUUGCAAUGAGAACAAUUUAAAACCCUUAGCGAGAAUCAAGUGGAGGACAAGUCUGGUGCCAGCACCCGCGGUAAUUCCAGCUCCACUAGCGUAUAUUAAAGUUGUUGCAGUUAAAAAGCUCGUAGUUGAACCUCUGUCUGGGGCUAGUUUUGGCUUUGGUCAGGCUAGUUCUAGGCAUCCGCCUACAAGACUUAGAGGGCAUUCAGUUGUUCACUAGGAGGAGUAGGCAUUUUACUUUGAAAAAAUUAGAGUGUUUAAGGCAGGCAAUCGCCCGCAUAUAUUAGCAUGGAAUAAUAGAAUAGGACACUUUUCCAUUUCGUUGGUUAUUGGAAUCGUGUAAUGAUUAAUAGGGACAGUUGUGGGCAUUUGUAUUUAAUUGUCAGAGGUGAAAUUCUUGGAUUUAUUAAAGACAAACUAACGCGAAAGCAUUUGCCAAGGAUGUUUUCAUUAAUCAAGAACGAAAGUUAGGGGAUCAAAGACGAUCAGAUACCGUCCUAGUCUUAACUAUAAACUAUUCCGACUCAAUGUUUGACUGGCUUAUAUAACCAGUUGAGCGUUGUAUGAGAAAUCAAAGUCUUUAGGUUCUGGGGGGAGUAUGGUUGCAAAGCUGAAACUUAAAGGAAUUGACGGAAGAGCACAACCAGGAGUGGAUUCUGCGGCUUAAUUUGACUCAACACGGGGAAACUUACCAGGUUAAAACAAUAGUGGGAUUGACAGUUUGAGAGCGCUUUCUUGAUUGGUUGGGUGGUGGUGCAUGGCCGUUCUUAGUUGGUGGAGUGAUUUGUCUGCUUAAUUGCGUUAACGAACGAGACCUUAACCUGCUUACUAGACUGGCGAUCAUCAAUCGUUAGCUCUUCUUAGGGGGACUUUGGUUGUUUUAACUCCAAGGAAGUUUGAGGCAAUAACAGGUCUGUGAUGCCCUUAGAUAUCCUGGGCCGCACGCGUCAUACAAUGACUAGUUCAGAAAGUUUUUUCCUGACCCGAAAGGGGAUGGGUAAUCUUGAUAAUAC